UACAGAGGGGGCAAGCGUUGUUCGGAAUUACUGGGCGUAGAGGGCGCGUAGGCGGCCUGCUAAGUCGAACGUGAAAUCCCUGGGCUCAACCCAGGAACUGCGUCCGAUACUGGUUGGCUUGAAUCCGGGAGAGGGAUGUGGAAUUCCUGGUGUAGCGGUGAAAUGCGCAGAUAUCAGGAAGAACACCCGUGGCGAAGGCGGUUCUCUGGGACGGUACUGACGCUGAGACGCGAAAGCGUGGGGAGCGAACAGG
rnacentral:rRNA from 1 species